rnacentral:lncRNA from 1 species
GAGACCACAUCUUAUGCAUGGAGUUGAUCUAUAGAUUAUUUUAUUUUGUGGAUGAUAUUAGAUAUAUAACAAAAACAUUAUUUUAAGAAAAAUGUUAUAUCGAUUAUUAUAACAAUAUUUGGUAGGACCAGCUUUGAUAUUUGAAAAUAUGGUUUGGUUAUUUACUUUUUUUUUUUCAAAUAGAUUUUGUUUAGAUACACUUUGAGGCGCCUUUCGGUAAGUAAUAGGUUUGGGCAUUCGGGGUUUCUGGGUCGGAUUUGAAUAUGAUCCAUUAGGGUUCG